AACAGAGGUAGCCAUUUCACUGGGGAAAUAAUGCAAGAAAUUAUGAAAGCCUUAGGGAUCAGUCAGGCCUUACCCAUCCCAUAUCACCCCCUCUUUCAGCAUGUUCACAUGAAAGGAUCGCUGGAUCCUUUCAUCUGCACAGCUGGCUAUCAAGUAAGUAGUGUCGCAGAUCUGCGCCACUGCCUUGUACGGGCCCUGCCAAGAUGCUUGCAUCUUGUUGGCCUUCACAGGUUUGAGC